ACCAGCGACAAUAGCACCUUCAAAGCACCAGUUCCACAUGGAUCACUGAAGUUGAGCACGGUUGCACAUGGUUAGUACCCGGAUGGGUGACCAUCCGGCCAAUCGCGUGCUGCUAGCU
rnacentral:rRNA from 1 species